UACGUAGGUGGCAAGCGUUGUCCGGAUUUACUGGGCGUAAAGAGCGCGCAGGCGGUCGGAUCAGUCGAAUGUGAAAGCCCCCGGCUCAACUGGGGAGGGUCAUUCGAUACUGUCCGACUCGAAGGCAGGAGAGGGAAGCGGAAUUCCCGGUGUAGUGGUGAAAUGCGUAGAUAUCGGGAGGAACACCAGUGGCGAAGGCGGCUUUCUGGCCUGUUCUUGACGCUGAGGUGCGAAAGCGUGGGGAGCAAACAGGG
rnacentral:rRNA from 1 species